CCCUUAGAUGUUCUGGGCCGCACGCGUGCUACACUGAGUGGAUCAGCGGGUCAGGUUGCGCGAAAGCGUUUCCUAAUCUUUAAAUCCGCUCGUGAUGGGGAUUGACGGUUGCAAUUUUCUGUCAUGAACGAGGAAUACCUUGUAAGCGCGGGUCAUCAUCCCGCGCUGAAUACGUCCCUGCCCUUUGUACACACCGCCCGUCGCACCUACCGAUUGAAUGGUUCGGUGAAGAUCUCGGACUUCGAUAUUUAUUCAUUAUUGAGUUUAUAUUGUGGGAAGUUAUCUAAACCUCAUCAUUUAGAGGAAGGUGAAGUCGUAACA
rnacentral:rRNA from 1 species